UGUAGACCAACGCAGAAAUACUGAUGUGCUUUAGAACAAAUAUUACUUCAUACUUGGCAGGCCUAUAGAUAACCAAAACUUUUUUUUUUUUUCCAUUUUCAGGAGUGCUUCAUGCCAGUUUGUGUUUGCUUACUUCACCACUGAGAGCAGUAAAUCAGUGCAAAAAUUUUGGCACCAAGUUGGCAUUUGUAUCCUUCCUCCUGUAUCUUUUUUUUUUUUUUUAAUUUUCCACUAAAGAUUUUCAAGCCCCAAAUGAAAAAAGAUAUAGGAAGUGACCAGUGCUUACUUCCUUUGAAAUUAAAACCAAAUCCUCAUCUCAGUUCUAGUCAGUGGGUUUAAGUUCUGUUGACUGUGUAGCCUGGAGUCCAGCCACAGAUGUUCCUGAUGCCCCAUUACAUAGACAAACCAGUACAAAGCUAAUUUAUUAGUUAUAUAACUUAUCUUUCCUUACCCCAUCUUUAUUUGUAAGACCACUUUGAAAAAGAGUAAUUUUCUGUGUUGAUAUAUCAGUAUGGAAUUUAUUUCUUCCCUUUUUGGUUUGGCAUAAGAUAGACCAAAACAUCAGGUUUUAUGUGGGUGAUAGUCCAAAAUGGACAGAGGUAGUGAAAGGAUGAUAUCAUUAUUUGCAGUUUUUAUUCUGAAGAGAUGAAAAAUGCAGAGUUUUUGUCUAGUAAGUGCUUCUGCUUUCUCUAACAAAGUUGUGGACAGAUAGUUGAAAACAGAUACCCUGUAACUUACAGCUUGAUAUCCAGCUUG
rnacentral:lncRNA from 1 species